CGCUGGUUGCACUCGUACUUGCAGUACUAGCCAAAGGUUUCUUGCGAGAAAGGUAGCCUUUUUUGAAAAGAACAUCCUGCCGAGGCGUUGUUAUUCUCAUGUAUUCCUCUGUAUAGAGAUGUUGUACACUUGCAUCAAUGACUGACGGAUUAACUGUACACAGCACCUCUCUAUCACACACCAAGCCUCACGUUCGUCUACUUAGACUUUUGAGUCAAGCCAAAGCCGGUAGGUUGUCUGUCAGCCCAGAACUAUUCUAGUACUAGAAUAGUACCAGAAUAGCAAGCUGGGAAAUGAGAAUAAGAGGAGCCAAGAAACUCGAAGGGGAGAGAACCAGAGGAGACUGUUAAAAAAAAGUGGAGAGGGCUCGGCACUGGCUUGUCGCAUAGCAGUGGACAAAAAGGUAUCGGACAUGGGUGCAGAAGAACCUUGGGAUACAUACUGAUCAGCGUUUUUGAGGACAAAUGAUGAGCAGAAUAGAACUUUUCUAAGGUCAUCUCUGAGCUUGAAGGUACCAAGGUUAAUUGUGGUCUUGUAAAUAGAACCGUACAUUUUCGACUGAGUUAGACGGUAUAGACGAGGUUGAACGAAUCUGAUAAAUAAUUCUUCCAUUCUUAUGCACAGUUCAAAUUUAUAUAUAGAUAAUAAAUAAAAAAUUUGGACAUUAUUUUAGGAAAAUUAUAUUAGAAAAAUUUGAUUACUAGCACAAUUUA
rnacentral:lncRNA from 1 species